UGAGGAAUAUUGGACAAUGGGGGAAACCCUGAUCCAGCCAUGCCGCGUGAGUGAUGAAGGCCUUCGGGUUGUAAAGCUCUUUCGGGUGUGAAAAUGAUGAUGGUAACACCAGAAGAAGCCCCGGCUAACUCCGUGCCAGCAGCCGCGGUAAUACGGAGGGGGCGAGCGUUGUUCGGAAUCACUGGGCGUAAAGCGUGCGUAGGCGGUUAUACAAGUCAGAAGUGAAAUCCCAGGGCUCAACCUUGGAAUU
rnacentral:rRNA from 1 species